ensembl:snRNA U1 U1 spliceosomal RNA
CCACUUACCCAUCAGGGAAGAUACCCUGACCACAAAGGUGGUUUUCCCAGGGCGAGUUUCACUCAUUGCAUUCUGUUUGCUGGCCCCUGUGAUUUCCCCAAAUGUAGGAGACUCAACUGCCUAAUUUGUGGUAGUGGGCGACUGUGUUCACGCUUUCCCCUG